rnacentral:rRNA from 1 species
AUGGAAUCGAGGCAAACCUUCAGAAUCACCCAUUCUAAAUUCGCAAUAAGCUCUAGCUACAAUCUCUGUAUGAUCUACAGAUCCUUCAAGAAUUCGGCGAACGCCGUCCGCGACGGCCCGCCGUCCGCCAGCGCCUCCGCCGCCUUCUCCUUGGCCAAUGCCAGCCUUCCCCGGAGCUUUCCCCCUUCGUCGGACUCCAUCACCAGCCUCACCUUCUUCUCCACCUCCUCUGCCUUGACAAGCUCCUCGUCGUACCCUUCCAUCACCACCCCGAGCUUCAUCUCGUCCACCACGAACACCUUGUUCGCCCUCUGCUCGGCGUACUGCGGCCAGCACAGCAUCGGCACCCCGGCCGACGCCGCCUCCAGGACAGAGUUCCACCCGCAGUGCGUCACGAACGCGCCGGUCGCGGCGUGCCCCAGCACCUCCACCUGCGGCGCCCACAUCUUCACGACCAGCCCCCUCCCCUGCGUCCUCUUCAAGUACCCAUCGGGGAGGAGCGCGUCCAGGUCUGGCUCUGGGCGCGGCAGGAAGUAUUUGGCCGGGUCCUCAGGCGGGCUCCGCACGACCCACAGGAAGCGGUGGCCGGAGUUCUCGAGCCCGCGCGCUAUCUCCUUGAGCUGCGCCGCCGACAUCGCUCCCAAGCUGCCGAAGCAGAGGAACACCACGCUCCGCUCCGGCUGCUCGUCCAGCCACGACAAGCACGCGCCCUGCGCUUGUGCAGCCGCCUCGCCUUUCACGAUCAGUGGCCCGAUGCAGUACACCGGCGGCGUCGGGCGGCCCGGGACACAGGCGCCCUCCCGGAGCGCCGUCACGGCCCUCGCCUCCAGCCGCUCGUAG